rnacentral:rRNA from 1 species
AUUGAACGCUGGCGGCAGGCCUAACACAUGCAAGUCGAGCGGCAGCGGGAAAGUAGCUUGCUACUUUUGCCGGCGAGCGGCGGACGGGUGAGUAAUGCCUGGGAAAUUGCCCAGUCGAGGGGGAUAACAGCUGGAAACGACUGCUAAUACCGCAUACGCCCUACGGGGGAAAGCAGGGGACCUUCGGGCCUUGCGCGAUUGGAUAUGCCCAGGUGGGAUUAGCUAGUUGGUGAGGUAAUGGCUCACCAAGGCGACGAUCCCUAGCUGGUCUGGGAGGGUGAUCAGCCACACUGGAACUGAGACACGGUCCAGACUCCUACGGGAGGCAGCAGUGGGGAAUAUUGCACAAUGGGGGAAACCCUGAUGCAGCCAUGCCGCGUGUGUGAAGAAGGCCUUCGGGUUGUAAAGCACUUUCAGCGAGGAGGAAAGGUUGAUGCCUAAUACGUAUCAACUGUGACGUUACUCGCAGAAGAAGCACCGGCUAACUCCGUGCCAGCAGCCGCUGUAA